rnacentral:rRNA from 1 species
CGGACGGGUGAGUAACACGUGGAUAACCUACCUAUAAGACUGGGAUAACUUCGGGAAACCGGAGCUAAUACCAGAUAAUAUUUUGAACCGCAUGGUUCAAAAGUGAAAGACGGUCUUGCUGUCACUUAUAGAUGGAUCCGCGCUGCAUUAGCUAGUUGGUAAGGUAACGGCUUACCAAGGCAACGAUGCAUAGCCGACCUGAGAGGGUGAUCGGCCACACUGGAACUGAGACACGGUCCAG